CAUGCAAGUCGAGCGGUAGCACAGAGAGCUUGCUCUCGGGUGACGAGCGGCGGACGGGUGAGUAAUGUCUGGGAAACUGCCUGAUGGAGGGGGAUAACUACUGGAAACGGUAGCUAAUACCGCAUAANGUCGCAAGACCAAAGUGGGGGACCUUCGGGCCUCAUGCCAUCAGAUGUGCCCAGAUGGGAUUAGCUAGUAGGUGGGGUAACGGCUCACCUAGGCGACGAUCCCUAGCUGGUCUGAGAGGAUGACCAGCCACACUGGAACUGAGACACGGUCCAGACUCCUACGGGAGGCAGCAGUGGGGAAUAUUGCACAAUGGGCGCAAGCCUGAUGCAGCCAUGCCGCGUGUGUGAAGAAGGCCUUCGGGUUGUAAAGCACUUUCAGCGGGGAGGAAGGCGNUGAGGUUAAUAACCUUGUCGAUUGACGUUACCCGCAGAAGAAGCACCGGCUAACUCCGUGCCAGCAGCCGCGGUAAUACGGAGGGUGCAAGCGUUAAUCGGAAUUACUGGGCGUAAAGCGCACGCAGGCGGUCUGUCAAGUCGGAUGUGAAAUCCCCGGGCUCAACCUGGGAACUGCAUUCGAAACUGGCAGGCUAGAGUCUUGUAGAGGGGGGUAGAAUUCCAGGUGUAGCGGUGAAAUGCGUAGAGAUCUGGAGGAAUACCGGUGGCGAAGGCGGCCCCCUGGACAAAGACUGACGCUCAGGUGCGAAAGCGUGGGGAGCAAACAGGAUUAGAUACCCUGGUAGUCCACGCCGUAAACGAUGUCGAUUUGGAGGUUGUGCCCUUGAGGCGUGGCUUCCGGAGCUAACGCGUUAAAUCGACCGCCUGGGGAGUACGGCCGCAAGGUUAAAACUCAAAUGAAUUGACGGGGGCCCGCACAAGCGGUGGAGCAUGUGGUUUAAUUCGAUGCAACGCGAAGAACCUUACCUGGUCUUGACAUCCACAGAACUUUCCAGAGAUGGAUUGGUGCCUUCGGGAACUGUGAGACAGGUGCUGCAUGGCUGUCGUCAGCUCGUGUUGUGAAAUGUUGGGUUAAGUCCCGCAACGAGCGCAACCCUUAUCCUUUGUUGCCAGCGGUUCGGCCGGGAACUCAAAGGAGACUGCCAGUGAUAAACUGGAGGAAGGUGGGGAUGACGUCAAGUCAUCAUGGCCCUUACGACCAGGGCUACACACGUGCUACAAUGGCAUAUACAAAGAGAAGCGACCUCGCGAGAGCAAGCGGACCUCAUAAAGUAUGUCGUAGUCCGGAUUGGAGUCUGCAACUCGACUCCAUGAAGUCGGAAUCGCUAGUAAUCGUAGAUCAGAAUGCUACGGUGAAUACGUUCCCGGGCCUUGUACACACCGCCCGUCACACCAUGGGAGUGGGUUGCAAAAGAAGUAGGUAGCUUAACCUUCGGGAGGGCGCUUACC
rnacentral:rRNA from 1 species